GUCCCUUCGGGGACAUCUGAUAAAAUUAAAACAAUACAGAGAAAAUUAGUAUGAUUUCUGUGCAAGGAUGGCAUGCAAAAUUCGAGAAAUGAUCCAAAUUUUU
rfam:Solanum lycopersicum cultivar Heinz 1706 chromosome 8, whole genome shotgun sequence.